AUUCCAGCUCCAAUAGCGUAUACUAAAGUUGUUGCAGUUAAAAAGCUCGUAGUUGAAUUUCUGGUCGUGGCGAUCGGUCCGCCCCUCACGGGGUGUGCACCUGGUCUCUACGUCCAUCCUCGGGGAGAGCGCGCCUGGCAUUCAGUUGUCGGGCGUGGGAUCCUCGUCAUUUACUGUGAGCAAAAUAGAGUGUUCAAAGCAGGCUUAGGCCGUUGAAUACAUUAGCAUGGAAUAAUAAGAUAGGACCUUGGUCUAUUUUGUUGGUUUGUGUUCCAAGGUAAUGAUUAAUAGGGAUAGUUGGGGGUAUUCGUAUUCAAUUGUCAGAGGUGAAAUUCUUGGAUUUCUGGAAGACCACCCCCCCCGCCACCAUCUCCCAACCCUGUUCUCAUCG
rnacentral:rRNA from 1 species